GACGAACCGUGCGAACGUUGUUCGGAAUCACUGGGCUUAAAGGGCGCGUAGGCGGCUUGCCAAGUCAGGGGUGAAAUCCUGCAGCUUAACUGUAGAAGGGCCUUUGAUACUGGCGAGCUCGAGGGAGGUAGGGGUAUGUGGAACUUCCGGUGGAGCGGUGAAAUGCGUUGAUAUCGGAAGGGACGCCGGUGGCGAAAGCGACGUACUGGACCUCUUCUGACGCUGAGGCGCGAAAGCUAGGGGAGCAAACGGG
rnacentral:rRNA from 1 species